GAUGAACGCCGGCGGCGUGCCUAAUACAUGCAAGUCGAGCGAACGGACGAGAAGCUUGCUUCUCUGAUGUUAGCGGCGGACGGGUGAGUAACACGUGGAUAACCUACCUAUAAGACUGGGAUAACUUCGGGAAACCGUAGCUAAUACCGGAUAAUAUUUUGAACCGCAUGGUUCAAAAGUGAAAGACGGUCUUGCUGUCACUUAUAGAUGGAUCCGCGCUGCAUUAGCUAGUUGGUAAGGUAACGGCUUACCAAGGCAACGAUGCAUAGCCGACCUGAGAGGGUGAUCGGCCACACUGGAACUGAGACACGGUCCAGACUCCUACGGGAGGCAGCAGUAGGGAAUCUUCCGCAAUGGGCGAAAGCCUGACGGAGCAACGCCGCGUGAGUGAUGAAGGUCUUCGGAUCGUAAAACUCUGUUAUUAGGGAAGAACAUAUGUGUAAGUAACUGCGCACAUCUUGACGGUACCUAAUCAGAAAGCCACGGCUAACUACGUG
rnacentral:rRNA from 1 species